rnacentral:rRNA from 1 species
UACGGGAGGCAGCAGUGGGGAAUAUUGCACAAUGGGCGCAAGCCUGAUGCAGCCAUGCCGCGUGUAUGAAGAAGGCCUUCGGGUUGUAAAGUACUUUCAGUCGUGAGGAAGGUGUUAAGGUUAAUAACCUUAGCAAUUGACGUUAGCGACAGAAGAAGCACCGGCUAACUCCGUGCCAGCAGCCGCGGUAAUACGGAGGGUGCGAGCGUUAAUCGGAAUUACUGGGCGUAAAGGGCACGCAGGCGGUUAAUUAAGUUGGAUGUGAAAUCCCCGGGCUUAACCUGGGAAUGGCAUUCAAGACUGGUUAGCUAGAGUCUUGUAGAGGGGGUAGAAUUCCAUGUGUAGCGGUGAAAUGCGUAGAGAUGUGGAGGAAUACCGGUGGCGAAGGCGGCCCCUGGACAAAGGCUGACGCUCAUGUGCGAAAGCGUGGGGAGCAAACGAGGGAUUAGAUA